UACGGAGAGUUUGAUCUUGGCUCAGAACGAACGCUGGCGGCGUGCCUAAUACAUGCAAGUCGAACGAGAAAGUCUGGCUUCGGCCGGGCGAGUAAAGUGGCGAACGGGUGAGUAACACGUGGGUAAUCUGCCCUCGAGUUUGGGAUAAGCCUUCGAAAGGAGGUCUAAUACCGAAUAAUAUCUUUAGAUGGCAUCUUCUUUAGAUCAAAGGCGGGGUAACCUGUCGCUUGAGGAUGAGCCCGCGCUCCAUUAGCUUGUUGGUGGGGUAAUGGCCCACCAAGGCUGUGAUGGAUAGCCGGCCUGAGAGGGUGAACGGCCACACUGGGACUGAGAUACGGCCCAGACUCCUACGGGAGGCAGCAGUAGGGAAUAUUGCGCAAUGGACGAAAGUCUGACGCAGCAACGCCGCGUGGAUGAUGAAGCAUUUCGGUGUGUAAAAUCCUGUCAGUGGGGACGAACCGGCCAGGUAGUAACUGCCCUGGUCCUGACGGUACCCGCAGAGGAAGUUCCGGCUAACUCCGUG
rnacentral:rRNA from 1 species